rnacentral:rRNA from 1 species
GCUCAUAGCGUAUAUUAAGUUGUUGCAGUUAAAAAGCUCGUAGUUGAAUUUCGGGGUUAGUAGGUUGGUCAUGCCUCUGGUAUGUACUGGUCUCACUGAUUCCUCCUUCCUGAUGAACCGUAAUGCCAUUAAUUUGGUGUUGCGGGGAAUUUGGACUGUUACUUUGAAAAAAUUAGAGUGUUUUAAAGCAGGCC